rnacentral:snoRNA from 12 species
CUCGCACCUAAACCCAAGGGCCGCGGUUUGCCGUAGCUGCGACUUAAACAGGGGUGCGGACAGCAAGCGGACCUCGUCGCCUUUGGGGAGCUGUGGCCAUGCCCCUCAAAGUGAAUCUGGAGGUCCCACACCU